rnacentral:misc_RNA from 1 species
GAGCUUGGCAAACCGAGCAAUCUUGGAAAGCACUGUUCUUAAACUUCGGAUACCAGCUCCAGAUUUUGAGCUUACCAUCAUCACAGGUUGAACUAUAGACUUGUUUGCCUUGAGGCUCUCUUCAAUUUGCGUUGCACGGCGUGCCACAUCAAUUGGAAAUAUUACAUCUGUCUUGGUCAAUACAAUCUGAUAUUUGGUCUGAGAUCUUUCCAUUAAAUCAAUGAGUUCAUGGUCUCUUGGCUUCAUACCCCAUUUUGUGUCAAUAAGAAGACAUACUCGUUUUAAACUAACUCUGGUGGAAACAUACUCCUUCACAAGCUCCUCCCAAGCAUCUUUAACUUCUUCUUUUGCAUAUGCAAAUCCAUAUCCAGGCAAAUCAACCAAACUGACCUUUGACCCCAGCUUGAAGAAAUUAAUAGUCUGAGUAAGGCCAGGCUUGUCUGAUGUCCGUACAACACCCCAUUGUCUAGUGAGUGCAUUUAGAAGUGAUGACUUCCCAACAUUUGACCUUCCUGCAAAUGCAAUCUCUGGAAGAUCAGGAGAAGGGAACGAAGAUGAAACUUUUGCAGCGGCAAAAAAUGUCAAUUUGUUCCUAAAAAUAUUUUCUUCAAUCCGUUCUCUCUCAGAGCUUGUACAGAAAGGAAUGUUAUCUAAUGGGGCAGAUAACUCGAUGUUGUAGCCUGCCCUUUUUAGCUCAAUCAAUCGUCUACGGCCUAAAAAAUUAUCUUCCACAAAGGAAAGCAUAGAAGGGCCAGGUUUUAUCGCACGGAAUUGUGCAUUCUUUGACAUUUCAGCUUCUGUCUCAGAUUCUUUUUUCUUCUUUUGCACACUCUCAUUAGUAACUAUUCCAUCAUCUAGCCGUUUAUUUGAGAUGUCAUGUGGAUCUAACCGAAUUACACGCUUUUUCUUCUUUGGCUGGCCAUCUAUGUCUGAAUCACCAUUGGCAAUGCUUUGUUUGUUCUGCACUGUUUUCUUUGAAGAUGUCAAAUUAGGUACAAUAGGAUGCUUGGUUUGAAUUUGAACCAAGCGCUUACUUGAGUCCAAUUUGCUUUUGGAUUGUUUCUUCGGUAAAUCAUACUUGUCAACACCCACUUUACCCUCUUUCCUCGCCCUGGUACUCCGUUUACCACUGGACACCUGUGCACUUUCUGUUGCAUCUACAACAUCAAAAGAAGGAUGUUUUUUU